GACGAACGCUGGCGGCGUGCUUAACACAUGCAAGUCGAGCGAGGGGCUUCGGCUCCUAGCGGCGAACGGGUGAGUAACACGUGGGCAACCUGCCCCGAGCUCUGGAAUAACCUCGGGAAACCGGGGCUAAUGCCGGAUAUGACAUUGCCGGGCAUCUGGUGGUGUGGAAAGAUUUAUCGGCUCGGGAUGGGCCCGCGGCCUAUCAGCUUGUUGGUGGGGUGACGGCCUACCAAGGCGACGACGGGUAGCCGGCCUGAGAGGGCGACCGGCCACACUGGGACUGAGACACGGCCCAGACUCCUACGGGAGGCAGCAGUGGGGAAUAUUGCGCAAUGGGCGAAAGCCUGACGCAGCGACGCCGCGUGAGGGAUGACGGCC
rnacentral:rRNA from 1 species